rnacentral:rRNA from 1 species
UACGAAGGGGGCUAGCGUUGUUCGGAAUUACUGGGCGUAAAGCGCGCGCAGGCGGUCCUUUAAGUCAGGGGUGAAAUCCUGGAGCUCAACUCCAGAACUGCCUUUGAUACUGAAGAUCUUGAGUUCGGGAGAGGUGAGUGGAACUGCGAGUGUAGAGGUGAAAUUCGUAGAUAUUCGCAAGAACACCAGUGGCGAAAGGCGGCUCACUGGCCCGAUACUGACGCUGAGGCACGAAAAGCGUGGGG